GGGGUUGUGGCUCAGUGAUAGAGCGCUUGCCUAGCAUGUGUGAGGCCCUGGGUUCGAUCCUCAGCACCA
rnacentral:tRNA from 1 species